AAUAUGGGACAAUGGGUGCAACCCUGAUCCAGCCUUGCCGCGCGUUUGAAGAAUGUCUUCUUUUUNUAAAGCACUUUAAGUUGGGANGAAGGGCUUUAGGUUAAUAUUCUGAAGUUUUGACGUUACCAACAGAAUAAGCACCGGCUAACUCUGUGCCAUCAGCCGCGGUAAUACAGAGGGUGCAAGCGUUAAUCGGAAUUACUGGGCGUAAAGCGCGCGUAGGUGGUUCAGUAAGAUGGGUGUGAAAUCCCCGGGCUUAACCUGGGAACUGCUUUCAUAACUGCUGAGCUAGAGUACGGUAGAGGGUAGUGGAAUUUCCUGUGUAGCGGUGAAAUGCGUAGAUAUAGGAAGGAACACCAGUGGCGAAGGCGACUACCUGGACUGAUACUGACACUGAGGUGCGAAAGCGUGGGGAGCAAAC
rnacentral:rRNA from 1 species